rfam:Camelus ferus unplaced genomic scaffold scaffold651, whole genome shotgun sequence.
GAGGGUAUAGCUCAGGGGGUAGAGUGUGUACUUAGCAUGCAUGAGGUCCUGGGUUCAAUCCCCAGUACCUUCA